UACAGAGGGUGCAAGCGUUGUUCGGAAUUAUUGGGCGUAAAGGGCGCGUAGGCGGUGCGGUAAGUCUGUAGUGAAAUCUCUGGGCUCAACUCAGAGUCUGCUGCAGAAACUGCCGUGCUUGAGUGUGGGAGAGGUGAGUGGAAUUCCUGGUGUAGCGGUGAAAUGCGCAGAUAUCAGGAGGAACACCGAUGGCGAAGGCAGCUCGCUGGGACGGUACUGACGCUGAGGCGCGAAAGCGUGGGGAGCAAACAGG
rnacentral:rRNA from 1 species